rnacentral:rRNA from 1 species
CACCUUUUGACAUGCCUGGACAAACCGAGAGAUCGGUCUUUCCCCUCGGGGACUGGGACACAGGUGCUGCAUGGCUGUCGUCAGCUCGUGUCGUGAGAUGUUGGGUUAAGUCCCGCAACGAGCGCAACCCUCGCUGUUAGUUGCCAUCAUUUAGUUGGGAACUCUAACAGGACUGCCGGUGCUAAGCCGGAGGAAGGUGGGGAUGACGUCAAGUCCUCAUGGCCCUUACAAGGUGGGCUACACACGUGCUACAAUGGUGACUACAGAGGGCAAAUCCCUAAAAGUCAUCUCAGUUCGGAUCGUCCUCUGCAACUCGAGGGCGUGAAGUUGGAAUCGCUAGUAAUCGCGGAUCAGCAUGCCGCGGUGAAUA